GCCAGUUCUCAGGUGACACACCCCAGAAUCGGGCUCCCUCCUCUCUGGUUCUGGGUGCAUCACCCAAGAACCGCA
rfam:Myotis lucifugus cont2.6896, whole genome shotgun sequence.